UCCCUUGUUAACGUAUCAGAAUAAGUUAUAUACAUAUAUGAUUGACAAGAUACAAUAUCAAUCCAUUCAUGAAUAGUGAACGUACUAUUGGCAUGCUACCAAAUCAGAUGACUUGGACCUUUAUAGUCCAAAUGAUUUUGAACAAGUAAUGAAUUGCCAAAUCCAUACAUUCAACUACCCAUAACAGUGUCUGACUUCUAAGAUGACCUAUUUGGAGAAUGUUUAUGCAAUCACAUGAAAAUUUUUUCAAAAAGUACAAAAAAAUGGGCUCAAAAUUAAUCCCUCAAAUUGACAAGCAAACCCCAAAGCCAUUACAAACGUUCAACUCUCCCCCCCCCCCCCCAUUUCAAUGAAUAAUAAACAAACAUGCUGAUUAUACUACGACUUUAACCAGGACUUUUAUACAGACUUAAUACCAUCAUCAUGAGCUACGGAACAUAUACCCCUGAACAACUUCAUUAACCAAACACUAUCACAACAAACUUAAACAUAACAAGGAAGAAAUGGACAGGAAGAAAUAGAGUGAAAGCUGAAUAACCUAAAAAAAUAUAGAAACUAAAGCCCCAAACAAAAUAAUCCUCAUUGACUUCAGUAGAAACAUAUCUUCCAUAUAAAACAUAUUCAAGCUCCAUUUGCCAUUCAAGGUUCAAAGGAAUACCUGGAAUAAUAAAAAACAAAUAGCAGAAACUUUCAGCAAAGAAAUUAAAAUAUCAGCAGCUUCUAAACAGCAACAAACAACAGUUCAUCAAUCAGUUUUUUAUGUCUUGAACCCAGAAGAAAAUAGCAAUUUUUCUAGCCUUUAAAACCCAAGAAACAUGAAAAAAUAGCUACAACAGACCAGUAUUUGCCAAUUUUUUGUGUUUUCUUGCUAAUUUCUAAACUUUAGUAGUGAGUGUACCCUUCAGCCGUUUCUAGUUAUUUAGUCUUGUAAUCGCUGCCCAUUUUUAUUGAAAACAACCCUUAUAUAAAGGACCUUAGGGCAGCAGAAUUGAUUUCAGAGUUUUGUUCAUUACCCCUUCCCCAAUUUUCCUUUUGCUCAAAUAACACCCUGAAUUUUAAACCCAUUUACUGAACUACCCAAUCCCCUCUUUCCUCGAAGCUUCCCA
rnacentral:lncRNA from 1 species